rnacentral:rRNA from 2 species
CGAAUGCUGACAUAAGUAACGAUAAAGCGGGUGAAAAGCCCGCUCGCCGGAAGACCAAGGGUUCCUGUCCAACGUUAAUCGGGGCAGGGUGAGUCGACCCCUAAGGCGAGGCCGAAAGGCGUAGUCGAUGGGAAACGGGUUAAUAUUCCCGUACUUGGUGUUACUGCGAAGGGGGGACGGAGAAGGCUAUGUUGGCCGGGCGACGGUUGUCCCGGUUUAAGCGUGUAGGUGUGUGUUCCAGGUAAAUCCGGUUCACUUUAACACUGAGGCGUGAUGACGAGGCACUACGGUGCUGAAGUAACAAAUGCCCUGCUUCCAGGAAAAGCCUCUAAGCAUCAGGUAACAUCAAAUCGUACCCCAAACCGACACAGGUGGUCAGGUAGAGAAUACCAAGGCGCUUGAGAGAACUCGGGUGAAGGAACUAGGCAAAAUGGUGCCGUAACUUCGGGAGAAGGCACGCUGACAC